rnacentral:lncRNA from 1 species
GACACACAAAAAGCCAUGUGGUGGAAACAUGUUCAUAUGAUACAAUGUGAUCUAGUUGUGAAUCCAAAUAAUCAGAUGGGAUGAAUGUGAGAGAGAUGCACCAGCAGGGAGUAUGCUUCCUUUGCAGGUGGGUACCGAGUAAGGAGGACAGCUGGACGUGGGAGGAGGGUGCUGUUGUUUAAAGUUGCUUCACAGGGAGUGUACCAAACAUGUAGUAACAACCACAUUCAAAUGGAGGUAGCUGGGUUGAAUGGCAGUGGUGGCAGGGGUACAUGUUGCUGGGAGAGGUUUUUGUUUUCUUUGAUACAGCUGGGAUAAGUUUUGGGAGAAAAGAUAAUGGGGUAAAUAUUAUGAUUUCAAAACAAUUAGGGGCUUAAAAUAAUUUUAGAUUUUCUAUAGUAUCCCUUUGUAUUGUGCACCACCCUAAACCAUCUAUUAUGGUGUUCCGCAGUAGACAAUGUCCAUGGAGGAUAAAUAAUCCUAAACUUAUAGAGUAAAGAUUCUUUCUGUUAAAUUGCACAUAAAUUUUAAUUUUAUUGCAUAUUGUUUAUGAUAUGCAUGUUUUAUUUGUAUUCAGUUUAUCGGGUUCUGUCGAGGGUGCUCCCAAAAUCUUUACAAGCCCAG